CUCAGGAGGGAUAGCGCC
rnacentral:siRNA from 1 species